rnacentral:rRNA from 1 species
CUGCAGCCCGAGUGGUGAUCGAUUUUAUUGAGCCUAAAGCGUCCGUAGCCGGACUAGUAAACCCUUGGGUAAAUUGGGCAGCUUAACUGUCCGAAUUCCGAGGGGACUGCUAGUCUUGGGACCGGGAGAGGUCAGAGGUACUCCAGGGGUAGGGGCUAAAUCCUGUAAUCUUUGGGGACCACCAGUGGCGAAGGCGUCUGACUAGAACGGAUCCGACGGUAAGGGACGAAACCCUGGGGCGCGAACCGGAUUAGAUACCCGAGUAGUCC